GUUAUUCAGCCGGCUGAGCCGGCUAGCCGCCAUAAAUAUCAUACUAGCCGGCCGCCGAAGGGUGUCGGCUACGUUUUAGCCACCAACUGUCCAUCGGCUGAACGGCGCAGUGCUCUAUAUAGUGUUUUCUCUAAAUUGG